GACGGAGAACCUGAAAGGAUCGCAGCCUCACUUUCUAAACAAAGCAAUGGCGCCAGGCGAUGUUAUGAACCCCCACUACGGGUGGGGGUUGAAGAAAAAUCCCCACCUGCUGAAAGAAUACACUGAGAAAUAUGUAGGAAAGUCACUGCACCACCCCUCUGCAUUGCUGUCCACUGCCAAGCAUGGCUCAGCUGAGCAGGUGGUGAGGAAGGUGCUCCUAACCAAGGCAAUGUGUGAAAUCUUCGUUAUCUUGGCUAAUGGUCAAAGGUGUCAGAUGCUCCUAAGCGCCAUGCAGCUGCAAGUAAUGAUUGUGAGCAUUUUCAAAGAGGAAGUGCUGAAAAUGCUCAUCAAAAAAGGAUACAAUAAGGAUAAUAUCAGGCUGGUGGCUGAUGACAAGCCACUGGAUGAUGACUCUGCACCAGUGAAAAAAUACGGGAUCAAAGCCGGCUCAACUGUACAGAUGACAGACAACCUGGAAAGAUCACAUGUUCCCCGCCUAAACAAGGAAAAUUGUAAACUCGGCAUUAUCUUGCCUGAUGGUCGGAGGGUGUCGAUGAUGCUGUGCCCCGGACAACUGCAGAGUAUGACUGUAAGCCAGUUCAAAGAGGACAUACUGAGAGUGUGGGCCAUCCAUGAUGUUUUUAGAAGUCUUCAUUAUCUUGCCUGAUGGUCGGAGGCACGUGAUGCCUCUGAGCGCUAAACAGCUGCAAGAAAUGACUGUGAGCCUUCUCGAAGAGGAAGUGCUAAAAAUGCUCAUGAUGAAAACUGUUGUAGGAUACACUAAGGAUGUUUUGAAGCUGCACAUUGAUGGCAUGCCACUGGACAACGGCUUUGUACUAAAAAUCAAAGCCGGCAAAAAAGUGCAGGCGGUGAUUAUGGUUCACGGAGGAUGAAGGAGUCCAUCAUGAAUUCAUGUGACUACAUCAAAUUUACAGGAUAUACCGAACCAUAAAUACAUGUAAAGAACAAAACAAAAAAUUCUGAUUGAAGUAUUGCAUCUAUGGCUUUCCUUCUCCUUUGUACUUUCUUCACAUUUUACGCCUCCUAUCAUACCUAUAGUCAGCACUAAUUCAGUAUUACAUAUUAAUAAUGAUUAAUUGAGGUGCAAAAGUUUUGUUUUAUUUUAUUACCAAGUUUCUGGGGCUUCUGUUUUCGCAGUCAGAGGUGUGUGCCUGAGAUGACAAUAUUAGCUCAUAUUAUUAUUGUUACAGGAAGAAAUUAGAAUAAAUGUAACGAUACACAGACGAACCUCCACAAAGUAAAUACUGAAACAAACGAACACAUUGAUUGUCAAUUUCCUAUGUGAUACAUUAUCUUUUUACAAUGUACAUGAAUAAAUGCACAUCACCAAAUGUUAUUGGUUGGCUCACUGAUGUCUGUAUGUAAACAUUGUGAUUCACAAAUGAUCCUAGAUUAUAUUUUAAAACGUAAUUGUUCAUUUUCUGUGACAUGUUUUGUUCAGUUAACAAUCACAACAAUUAAGUAAAUCUUUUUCAGAAUAUGUUUAAUGACUCAAAGCUAAAUGUGGAAGAAAUAAAUAGGAAUCUGGCUUCCUCGUGGUUUGCAUCAUUUAACUUUGAUAAAAUAGAAGACUGUCUCGGAGAAAUCAGACUGUCAAUGAAAAAAUUAAAUGCAAAACGUUCCAUUAUGUAACCUCAAAGAAACGUUCUCUGAGGAAAUUUCCACCUUAUCCUGAUUAUUAUAUUAGUUUAGCUGUUUCUGUAAAUACUUUAAAAUCAACAUUGGGACAACUAAACCACAUUUUCCAAUAACAAAUUUAAAGAAGAGAUCAUAUUUUACAUGAUGAUUUUUACUUAUCUGCAUGGGCUCUAAGUAACGUCAUGGCAGGAAGAAAGAAAAAUCUACAAGCUUAUAUCAAAUGAGGUGUUGCUAACUUGUUCAAAUCCUGGCGUUGGAGCUUGGACAAUUCAGGCCAAUAUUUUACUCAAAUACAUCA
ensembl:lncRNA